CAGCCGUAAACUAUGCUCGCUAGGUGUCAGGCAUGGCGCGACCGUGUCUGGUGCCGCAGGGAAGCCGUGAAGCGAGCCACCUGGGAAGUACGGUCGCAAGGCUGAAACUUAAAGGAAUUGGCGGGGAGCACCACAACGGGUGGAGCCUGCGGUUUAAUUGGACUCAACGCCGGACAACUCACCGGGAACGACAGCAAUAAUGUAGGCCAGGCUGAAGACCUUGCCUGAAUCGCUGAGAGGAGGUGCAUGGC
rnacentral:rRNA from 1 species